ACGGACCGGAAACUGUGGUCCGACUGAAAAAACAGUUCCCUUUGGAAACAACGAAACGUUGCCUCACUUGUGCAUCAUUUCCAUAUAUAUAGUUCAAGCGUGUUAGCGUUAAAUUAAUCAGCAAUUUUGUGUAAAUCUGACUUGCCUUUCUCGUCACGCUUGGAGAACAAAGUUCCAUAACUUUAGUCAACGUUUGGUAUGGAAUCACGGGUGUAUUUGGGACACAUUCAGAUAGAUCCCUCUCGACUUUGUUCCGUUUGUGUUUUGCAACAUAAUUGGCGUAAUCUGUUGCAAUUUCUGAUCUCAGGCUAACAUCCUCCUGUCCUCGGCUGGAUUUCUCAAAAGCAUCAUAGUACUAAAAUAAUCUUAAUUCCAUUGAAAUUAAAUGAACGAAAGAUGAUUGUAGUGCAACGAAAACAAGCUCUGGUCUGGGCAUCAUUUCUGCCACCUGUAGGAGGAGGUUGAAGCUGAGUCUUUCUCUCUGUCACCCAUGAAGUGCUCUUCUCCUCACCUACCCCCAACAACUGUACAACAGCCAACAUGCCCCGUUUCCUACUGUCGAAGCCAAGAGGAGAAGACCGUCAUGACGACAGAAGAGGUUCCCCUACAGGUACACUGCUGUCUGCCGUGGCCUCCCAGGUGUCCCAUCCGGAGAACAUGGAAGAGAACACGCCGAUUAUUUUACGAAAGGACGUACUCCGCUCUGCCACCAAGGCAUUCAGCUGGAAACUAUUCAACCUCAGAGGUUCAAUGUGAGGGGUCAGUCGACCAACAUGGUUAAACACAGGAGUUCAUUCGGCUGUUGAUGGCAGCCAUCCAAGACUGUUGUUUGUUCCAGGGGCCAGACCACUGCAAAAGCCUAGUAUUGCACUAGUAUUGUAAGAUCGCACUGUUUAUAUGUUCAAAUAUGACACUUUCUAUCUAAUCCUAGAACACUGUCCUGUUGUAUCACUUUCAGUGUAUUCCAAGCAGAGUGAACUAUAAGGUCUUAUAUGGUAUAUUACUACAUAGAUUGGUGGCCUCUUAUGUGCUUUCCAUAGUAAAAACCCCCCUUAUUUUAAUAAGGUGGUAUUAACUUGUACCAUGUUUUAGUUUCAGCCUGGGAUAAUGUACAGGCUGGUGGAGAGCAUGACCAGUGUCUGAGUGGUGAGAUAUGGCCCCACUUCCUGUCCAGGAGAACGUUUGACAUGAUCUGUGGUCUUCCCUCUGCUCCUGUGGCCCUGGACGAGAUCACACCAGGAAAUACGAGCCAGGCUGGAGAAGGCAUGUGACAUGUUCAUGUGUUCUUUGCCGUAUAUAUUGGUUUGUGUUUGUAGCCUGAGCCCUGGGCUUGUAUUCACAUAGCUUCUCAGACUAGGAGUUCUGAUCUUGGAUCAGGUCCUUCCUGUACAUACAGGUAACUGCAAAAAUAAAGGAAAUGCCAAUAAUUAGUGUCUUAUUAGGGCGUUAGGCCACCACGAGCCAGAACAGCUUCAGUGUACCUUGGCAUAGAUUCUACAAGUGUCUGGAACUCUGUUGGAGGGAUACAACACCAUUCUUCCAUGAGAAAUUCCAUCAUUUGGUGUUUUGUUGAUUGUGGUGGAAAAUGCUGUCUCAGGCUCUGCUCCAGAAUCUUCCAUAUGUGUUCAAUUGGGUUGAGAUCUGGUGACUGAGACGGACACAUCAUAUGGCUUACAUUGUUUUCAUGUUUGUUGGUUUGGCAAUGCCACUGUCAGCCUGAGAAAUAUGCUGAGAAGGAUUAUUACCACAGCAAGCAAGGUACUUGGAGUCAAACAGACAGGUCUGGAUGAGA